AAAUUCGGCCUAAAGUCCAAAGUGAAUAAUUUUUUGUUAGAAAUAUUCUCUAACAUGUUCUUUUCCUAUAAUGUACUGGUUUUUAUAUGUAGAGUUGGUGAAAGAACACUAUUUUUAGGUUUACAUUACUAGUAUAAAUCCUAUAAUUUGCGCUACUUUUUAAGAUUGCGUCAUACAACGUCGCUAUAUAUUAUAAGAAAUGGUAACGUAUUGUAAAACAUAAUUAUGCAAUGAGUGGUUUAAUAUGUAAUAAGAUCUUGAAAAAGAAAUUUUCUUUCCCAAUACGCAAUAAGGUUAUUUUACUUAUAGCCCGAAUGGCACACCACAUUUUUCAAUCCAUUCGGCCAUUUUCACACGCCGCGCCGUUAGCCUGUUUGCGCUGUUCGUGGAAGUUGCAGCGGAUGUACUCAUCGCAUUUCAACGAUGAUAUAAUAUGUACAGCAAAAAUUGAUGGCAAGGAUGACAUGAAUCAGAUUGACAAGAAUCCAUAUUCCUACUCCUCAAUAAUGAUAUCAUGACUGCCAUCAGAUUCAUCAAUGAUAGUGGCAUCAGUGACACAUGCGGAUAAGUGUUGGACAUCACUGCAGGAAUAGCUUCCUUGUUGUGCCUGCCAAUAGCAAGGUACCAGAUUAUACAGCAGUUAUGUGGAAACAGAUUCCCACAAUAGGGGCACCAGAUUGACACUUACAUUGUACAGUAUCAGGCAGUUAUAUCAGAACUGGAAAAACUGGAUCCAAACAAGACUAUAUUGCUUGGAAGAAACCUGUCGACUCUGAAGUUUAAACCUUAUUAACCCAUGGCACUUCCAGAGACAUCCUGAUACCAUGGUUCUGUGUCAUUUGAAAUAUACCUGUGGAGGUUUUUAAAGUGUUUUUUUUUUAGGGGGGGGGGGGUUAUUGAUUGGAAGAAUUCAUAUUUGAUGAUUCAAAUGAAAAUCUGCAUGUUGAAUUAUGAAUGUCAUAAUGUACUUUUUGAAUGAGUUCAAGAAUGGUUGUCCUGAUGAAAAGUGUAGAGUCAAAAGUUAACAAAUUGUCAAAAACACUGGUCAGGUCUGAAUUCAUCAUCUUGUACACCUUGCAGUUGGAAUUAUGAUUUCUAUGAAGAAAUGCUGAAAAUCUUGCAAAAGAGGAAAUGACAAGUUGGGGUCCAAGGCACUUGCAUAUAUGCAUGAGAAGGUGUUCUAUCCAGGCUUGAGGUCAAUUACAUAGCAAUGUAACGCAUUACAUUACCUAGAAAAUUUCACAUUACCAUUACUCCUAUUUUGAAAUAUAAUGUAUUACAUUACUUGAGAGUGAAUUUACAUUACACAUUUACAUAAAAUACUGUCAGAUAUUAAAGAAAUGACAGAAAAAUUAUUUCUGUAUUAUGAUUUUUAAUUAUACAUUAUCAUAAGUACACAGAAUAUUCAGCAAUGUUAGGAAACAUGUCUAUUAAGUUAUUCAUUGCAUUUGAUUGUCAUCAAUGUUUCAAAUGCUUCAAUCACUAAUAUAAUGAAUUAUUCUAAAUCUUCAAAAUAUCAUCAAAUAUUUGAAGUAGUGUAAAUGUAAUGGAAAAUAAUGUGCAGUACAGUAUGCAUUACAUUACCAUUACUUGUAAUGCAAAAAUGGUCCAUUACACCCCCAUUACAUUGAAACUGGCUGUCAUUUAAUUACCAUUACCCCAGGCCUGGUUCUGUCGAGAGGUAUUGAAAUUGUCUAUAGAGACUUUGUCUUAGGAAGUGGCCGAGAUUGAUUAUGACAAUUUUGUUGGAUGUGAAUUUACUGACACACAUAUCUACACUUGCUACACAAUAUAUCAUGUGGUGGUUUCAACAAGAAAGUUCUUACUCUGCAGGAAAUGACGAAUUGCUAAUGAUUCACAUUUUUUCUGACUUUUCUUCUGUACCUUAGAUGCAUUGGAAAAACUUUCCUUUCCAUUAUCUUUUGCUGGUUCAUACUUUGAAAUAAAAUCAAGUCCGAAAAUAAAGUAUUUUUUUUUUUCAAUGAAUUUUAAAAAAUGUAAUCUGUAAUCCUUGCAUAUUUUCUUGGUGUUCUGUGAUUGCAUAGGCCUAUUGAUUUUUAUUUAUAUUCAGGUAUAAUUUCAUCUUCAGUGUCUUGAAAGAAAUUAAUUUUUCAAUAACGCCAAGAAAAAUGUAGUUCACAUUAUGAUUAAAAAAAAAAAUAUUGACACGGGUAGGAAUUGAACCCGGAUCUCCCGAUUGAAGGACGGGCUCUCUACCACUACGUUAAGACGUCUAUGACGUCUUUUGCUAAAAAAUCCUUCAUAAAUUUACUUGCCCUAGUUAACGUUAUACUUUCGAUAUAUCGGCAAUAGUUUUAGUUAUAUCAAUGCAUGUUCUAUGAAUUCUUUUCAUUUUUGAUCUUAGUAAUUCUGUUGGUGUCGUCUAAAUAAAAACUUUCUAUAGCAUUGAAGGUCCGAUUUCUCGGACAGCAGAUUCGUUUGUUUACGCAUUAAAAUUCUAUAGCUUUUAGAAUUCCUGCACAAACUUGUGAUAAAAACACCACAUAGGGGUGUAUUCUGCAUAUAAAUGAUGUAGACUCCACAUAAGUAUAUUGUUUCAAUUUUUCAAAGCAACAUAAUUAAUAAAAUACCCACAAAAAACUCUCACAAAAAUAAAUAAUCCCGGAUUGCUCUCAAUUUAAUUCAAAGUUGAUAUUCAUCAACAGCACACCUUUCGAUCCAAAAAAUCGUUCGGGCAAAAUUUAUUUGUAUUGAUAGAUUUUGAUAGACUACAGUCAGUUUCUGGAUCGAAGGUCAUGUUUUAUAUAAAUUAUAUGACUAAAAUUGAAAAAAGUGGAGAUUUCUGCAGAAAACCAGACCGAUACCAGUUUUGUCUUGUAUAGAAUUCCACAAGCUGACGUUUUGGCGGGGAAAUCUUGGCACGUCGCGAUGGUAUAAAGACUAUAUUAUCAAAUGAUAACAAUUUUAUUUCAAUUCAUUCUGCUUUAUUUUUUAACACACCACAGGGCCGAUAUAGCUAAACAUGGUCUUAGUCCUUUUAGAAAUUAACAUAAUAUUUUAGAACUUGACAUUUGAUAUAAUGAAUUGUUUUCGUACAAGUGCAAGAAGGUCUUUAUUUAUUUCCAUUACUUGUAUUGAACUUUUUUAUCUGCAUUGUUAGAAGACAUGAUUAUGUAUCUAUUUUAGGUUAUGACUAAUUUGUGUUGCUUAGGUUAUGUAGAUACCAACAUACAACUCAAGUUUAAUUGAAUAAAUCGUAAGUGGAAAAAGAUCAUGUUUAGAACACUGUAGCUCAAUAACAAGCAUUGCGACCCCAGUUUUUCUUUUUAAUUUCUUAAUUAUCUUUCAAUAUAGAAAACAAAAAUACACUUCCCCAAAAAUUGAAAUUUUUCCAACUUUCAGGUGUGAACCUCUUUAAGGCCGUGACUUUAAUUCAAACCUAUUUAAGAUGUAGAAAACCUAAUUAAAGGUGUUCUUAAAAUUUAUAAAUUGAUUUUGCAGACGGGGAAAAUAAAUGAACUUACUGUGUCAGACACAACUUGUCCUUGUUAUGUUUGUGUCUCUCUUCCCUGUAUCUCUUUCCCCAUUAGAAUGUAUCACAUGUACUUGAUCUCAUGUACCACGUACUGGUGGAUUAAGUGAAUAAAGAACUUGAAACUCUUAGGGUUUCGUGUGUACUAUUUACGUCCCAGUGAGCUCGGGUAUGUAAAUAAGGUUAUAAUUAGUUUGAGUUCAAUAGAGGUAUAUUCAGGUACCUGGUCGUAUUUUAGAUGAAAGUAUAAUCAUGGAAUUCUUUAAAAUAUUAAUCAAUUCAUGGGUUUAAAAAAUAGCGGAUGACAACGGACGCGGAACAAAAAAGCAAUAGGUCACAUGAGCGAAUGUACAUGAAUGCUUCUUACGAACAAACUUCUGGUAAAAAAGCACCUGUAUUAUAUUCAUAAAGUGUCGAGAUAACAGUAAACUGUCUCGAUUGUUAUACAAUCUACGUUACAGAUCUAUGUAUGCUUUAUAAUUGAAAAUAUUCUUCUAAUCAUUUGAUAUUUUGCUUGAAGGUCAAUUAAUAUCUAGUAACUUGUUAUUUUAAUGAUUUUAGUAUAGAAUUGCAUAAUUUGUUCCAGUCACGCAUAUCGUAUUAUACGCAAGAAUGCGAAGAAUCUGUAAUCUAUUUCGGUAGUUAAUUAAAAUAUUGCCUCGACAAGCUCAGGAUAUGGAAUCACAAUAUCAGGUAAACUUAACAGAAAAAUCUUACACAACUCCACAUUGAAUCAAAUGUAGACAUAGACUAUGGUAUUUUAACAAUUCUCUCAACACCAAUGUUGUAACGUUUCAUAUACUCCACUUUUUUCAAUAUAGUAAAGUUUCCAACUAUAGUAUGAUAAAAUAACGGCAAACUAGCCCUCUUUAGACAAGAAAAAAUCUUAUCAUCUAACUUGAUAUCAUUUAUUAAUGUUACUUGCUUAUUUUUUUUUCAAUUGACCAAUUAAUUACAAUAUUUACAAUAAUUAAGUAUUAAUACAUAAACAGGUAACGGGAGGUGACUCCUCUAACCAUUUCACUUGUAAACCCAGGUCUCUAUGUUGAGUUUAUUUCUUUAUUUGUUUGCUCUCUACCAUACUUAAAAUAUAACCAAACAUAUGUUUGGCAUAAUCAAAAAGUAUGAAAGAGAGCACUGCUUAUUAAAUAUAUAGAGACUUGAGCAAAUCUACCAUUUUAUUUAAAAAAAUUAGAUGUUAAAUUCGUUCGCAUGUACUCGUUGCACUCAGAUUGUGCACUAACCCACUUAUAACAUUAUAUAUAAUAUCUAUAUAUAAGAUAUAAUCUUAUAUCACCAUUCGCAUGUAUAUAUACAAUGUUAUGAUACAUAUAUAUUGAUUCAAAGUGACAUAUAGGUCCGUUUGGGCCGGGUGUUCAAUAAUUUAUGUACUUUGUAAAAUCAGUGUUGUGAAAUAUUGUAUUUAAAACACAUGUCACUAUAAUAAAUAAAUUACUUACUUACUUACUUAUAACACAAAAAUAAAUAUUUUUGUGCAUAAAACAAUGAUAAAAAGAAAACUGAAAUCAUUUACCACAAAUAACUUCUUUUCUUGAAUUCAUGAAUGU